GUCACCAGGUUACACCUUCCAUUCUUCCCCGCGAAAUCAAAGACUUCACCGGAGCUUAGGAAGUCGCCGUCGGCGAGGGGUAAACUAGUGUUUCAUUCAUUCCCGACGGCUCUCUGGUUCCAAUUAUUGUGCCAGGUUUCUUGAGGAAACAUGGGAUAUGAAUCUGGUAGCGCAUCCCACGAUGGUCGUGAUGAAGAUGAUGAUGAUGAAUAUGAGGAGGCUGGUGGUGGCAACCAUCUUUUGGGAUUUAUGUUUGGAAAUGUUGACUACUCUGGGGAUCUUGAUGUUGAUUACCUUGAUGAGGAUGCAAAGGAGCAUCUUGCUGCAUUGGCUGACAAGCUUGGUACAUCCCUAACAGAUAUUGAUUUGUCUGUGAAAUCGCCACAAACACAUUCAGAUGCUGCUGAACAAGAUUAUGAUGACAAGGCGGAGGAUGCUGUGGACUAUGAGGAUAUUGAUGAGCAAUAUGAAGGCCCUGAAGUUCAAACUGCCACCGAGGAGGACCAUUUAUUGCCAAAGAAGGAUUAUUUCUCUAAAGAAAUUGCAGUAACUACUUUGAACAACACAGCCUCUGUUUUUGAUGAUGAAAACUAUGAUGAGGAUGAUACUGAAGAGAACAACGAGCAGGAUGUGUUGGGGAACAGCGCUGAAGGCCAAGCUUUUCCUGAAACAGGCAAGUACAAUCAUGAUUUCAAAGAAGCAUGUGAAGGGGAAAAACUUGCUAAAGAUGUUAUACCCUCAUAUUCUGAAGAGCUUGCAAAAGAUGUCCUGCCCCUGGAUUCUCCUGAAUCUGAGGAUUUUGCUGACUUUCAGGAGUCUCUUGCUCUUGAAGAGUCAUUUGAUGGUAAAAGCUCUAUGCCACUACCAAUUCUUUGUAUAGAAGAUGGAUUGCCUAUCCUACGGUUUUCUGAAAUUUUUGGCAUUCAUGAACCCCGAAAGAAGAAGACCGAGAAGAGGGACCACCGCUAUUCUGUUGCAAAAGAGAAGUACAACUUGGAUAGUUCUGAACUUCUUGAAGAUGAUGAAGAGGAUAUUUUAAGAGGAUCUUAUAAAGACUUUCCUUGGUUGAAGGUGGCAUGUGUAACUGAAGACAAUAUUUCAGAUGAUGAACUGGGAUCCUUUCAGGGGAAAGGAAGAAUAGGUGCAACUGCUGAUGACAGGAAAAAAGACUUUUGUUGUAGUGCUGAACCAAUGAAGUCAAAUAUGCCACAAAAUCUCUCUGCUGAUUGGAGUUCACCUUCUUGUCCCAAGUUCUAUCCUCUUGACCAACAGGAUUGGGAGGAUGGAAUUAUUUGGGGCAACUCUCCGGCUUCAAGUGCUGAGACUGCUGAGAGUUUUGAGACCUCUGGACCGAAUUUUGGAGCAUCUUUUGAUAAAGAAAUGGAUCUGGAGGCUGACUCAGGAACUUCGGAACUAGGAAUUGAAUCCAACGAAAAAGAUAAAAGUUCCUUUAUCCACCUUCAAUCUGUUUCUGUGGAGCCUUUUGGCUCACGAGAAAUUUCGGGUCAAAUGGACGUUCCUUUAUUAGCAGGAAGAUUUCAUCCUCAACUUUUGAGGUUAGAGUCUCGAUUGGAUGCAAAUCAGCAAGAUAACACUGAGGAUGGGGAAUAUAUUGCCCAAGAAAAAAUCUCUGAUGCCUUGAGGCGUUUCAGUGAGCUCACAUUGCUGAAUAAAGAUGUGGAGGAAGGAUCUUGGUUGGACAACAUUAUUUGGGAACCAGAACAAGCCAUAGCAAAACCAAAACUAAUUUAUGAUCUUCAAGACAAACAGAUGCUUUUUGAAAUUCUGGACAGUAAGGAUAGCACCAGUCUUCAGCUUCAUGCUGGUGCAAUGAUCACUACUGGUUUGGGGAAGCCCAAUGUGGGUGAUUCCGCUGAGUUACUUCAUGGAGGUCCUACAGGGCGUUUCAAUAUUGCCAAUGACAAAUUCUAUUCCAACAGAAAAUCUUCACAGCAAUCAAAAUCACAUUCAAAGAAGCGCACUGCUCAUGUUCUCAAAGUUCUGCAUUCAAUUCCAGCUCUUAAACUAGAGACUAUGAAGGCAAAGCUAAGCAAUAAAGAUCUUGCUAAUUUUCAUCGGCCUAAAGCUCUAUGGUAUCCCCAUGAUAAUGAAGUGGUGCUCAAGGGACAAUGGAAGCUGCCUACACAAGGACCCAUGAAAGUCAUAUUGAAGAGUUUGGGAGGCAAAGGAAGUAAACUUCAUGUGGAUUUUGAGGAGACUGUCUCUUCACUUAAGGCAAAAGCGUCAAAAAAGUUAGAUUUUAAACUCACUGAACCAGUAAAAAUAUUUUAUUUGGGGAGGGAGCUUGAAGACCAUAAAUCUCUUGCUGAACAAAAUGUUCAACCGAACUCCUUGCUACAUCUUCUUCGCUCAAAAAUAUAUUUGUUGCCUAGGGCACAAAAGCUUCCGGGUGAGAACAAGUCUUUGCGCCCUCCUGGGGCUUUUAAGAAGAAAUCUGAUCUUUCUGUGAAAGAUGGCCAUGUUUUCCUGAUGGAAUACUGUGAGGAGAGGCCUUUGCUCCUAGGAAAUGUUGGAAUGGGUGCAAGAUUAUGUACCUACUACCAAAAAUCAACUCCAAACGAUCAAACAGGUGUAUUGAUGCGCAAUGAAAACAACAGAUUGGGGAGUGUCCUCAUUCUUGAUCCUGCUGAUAAAUCACCUUUUCUUGGAGACAUAAAACCUGGUUGCAGCCAGUCUUCCCUUGAGACUAAUAUGUACCGAGCACCUAUAUUUCAGCAUAAAGUGUCAUCAACAGAUUAUCUAUUGGUCCGCACAGCAAAGGGAAAGCUGUCUAUCAGGCGCAUUGACAGGAUUGAUGUUGUUGGACAACAGGAGCCUCACAUGGAAGUCAUGUCUCCUGGAUCAAAAGGAGUCCAGACAUACAUUAUGAACAGACUAUCGGUAUACAUGUACCGUAAAUUUCAUGCUGAUGAGAAGCGUGGUGUGCGCCCUGUUAUCCACGCAGAUGAGUUGUCUGCACAAUUUCCUAGCUUGUCAGAGGCCUUCCUUAGGAAAAGGCUUAGAAAUUGUGCUGAUAUGCAGAGAGGAUCGAAUGGGCAGCUGAUUUGGGUUAUGAAGAACAGUUUUCGCAUUCCAUCAGAGGAGGAGUUACGGAGGAUGGUGACACCUGAAAAUGUCUGUGCAUAUGAAAGCAUGCAGGCUGGCCUUUACAGGCUCAAGCGCCUAGGUAUUACCCGGCUAACUCAACCUACAGGCCUUUCCUCUGCAAUGAAUCAGCUUCCAGAUGAAGCAAUUGCCUUAGCUGCUGCUUCACAUAUUGAGAGGGAACUGCAGAUAACACCUUGGAACUUGAGUAGCAACUUCGUUGCCUGUACAAACCAGGACAGAGGUAAUAUUGAACGUUUGGAAAUUACCGGGGUUGGAGAUCCUUCUGGACGAGGAUUAGGUUUCAGUUAUGUCCGCACUACUCCAAAGGCACCCGUAUCAAAUGCGGUGACAAAGAAAAAAGCAGCUCUUGCUAAAGGGACAACUGUUACUGGAACGGAUGCUGAUCUACGCAGACUGAGCAUGGAAGCUGCACGUGAGGUCCUCCUUAAGUUCAAUGUUCCAGAGGACCAGAUCGCUAAACAGACAAGGUGGCACAGAAUUGCCAUGAUUCGGAAACUGUCAAGCGAGCAAGCCGCUUCGGGUGUAAAGGUUGAUGCAACAACAAUAAGCAAGUAUGCUCGAGGUCAGCGUAUGUCCUUUUUGCAAUUGCAGCAGCAGACCAGAGAAAAAUGUCAGGAGAUCUGGGAUCGGCAGGUCCAAAAUCUUUCUGCAGUUGAUGGUGAAGAAAUUGAAAGCGAUGCCGAAGUAAAUAGUGACCUAGAUUCCUUUGCUGGAGACCUCGAAAAUCUUCUUGACGCAGAGGAAUGUGAAGAGGGCGAUGAGGGUGCUUGUGACUUAAAGCAUGACAAAAUAGAUGGUGUCAAGGGACUCAAGAUGAGAAGGCGCCCAUUUCAAGCUCAGCUGGAAGAGGAAAUCGAAGACGAGGCCGCUGAAGCUGCAGAACUGUGCAGGAUGCUCAUGGAUGAUGAGGAUGCCGAUCGAAAGAAGAAGAAAAAGGAAAAAUCUGUAGGGGAGCGAGUUGGGGCUCCAGAGGCACAACCACGGUUUGUUAUGGAAAAUACUGAACGUGGAAAGAAAACCACUGUGACUACUAAAGCAGUCAUCAAACCUGAUGUGUUGAAUGCAUUUAAGGAGGAUAUAGCUGGGGAUCAGAGUGAGGGCGAUGGUUUAGCUGCGAAAAGGAGCUUUUCUAGCAAGGUAAAACCAAAGAAAAAAACCGAUGUUGCUGAGAUGGGAUUACUCAAAAAGAAAGUUAAAAUACUGGCUGAUGGAAUUCAGAACGUCAAGGAGAAAAAGUCAGCACGAGAGAGUUUCGUCUGUGGAGCUUGUGGUCAGCUUGGCCAUAUGAGAACUAACAAGCAUUGUCCCAAGUAUGGGGAAGAUGUGGAACCACGACCCGAAAAUGCGGAUCCAGAAAAGGCGUCAGCAAAAGCUACCUUGUCAGAGCACGCAGAUCCGCCCCAGCAGAAGCCCCCGAUGAAGAAGAUCGUACAGAGAAGCGCAACAAAGAUUGCGGUGGUCGAGACUCAGGAGGACGAAAAGUCUAGCUCAAAGGCUAAAGUUCUGAAGUUCAAAUGCGGUUCGACUGACAAAUUGCCCGAUAAGCCCACCCCCGCCACCUCGCUGAGUUCUGAUAAACCGGUAAUGUCAGAUGGCGAAACCGGGUCCAAGUCUGUCGUGAAGCUCAAUAAGUUGAAGUUUUCUAACAGCAUGAAAUCCGAAGAGACUGCAGUCGAGUCACGCAAACCCUCCAUUCUAAUAAAACCGUUAGUCGAGGCUGGUGAUAAGCCACGCAAGAAGAUUGUGAUCAAACAAUCGAAGGACUCUUCUAACGCUGAGGAUGUAAGCCAGGAAGGUAGCAGCGGUUUCGAACAUAGGAAAAUGAAAAAAAUCGUCGAAUUGUCGUAUGCUGACAUGUAUACGGAUCAGGGAAGUUAUCAUUUCUCCGAAGAGGCAUCGAGGAGGAAAAGCAUGCAGGCUAAGCAGAGGCAAUGGGAAGAGGAAGAAAGGCGGAGAAUGGUGGAGAGAGAGAGAGAAGAAAGGAGGAUGUAUGAGCAACAGAAGGCAUUUGAAGAACAAGAGAGAUUAGCGGAAAUUAGAAGAUACGAAGAUAGUUUAAGGACAGAGAGAGAAGAAGAAGAACGCCAAAGGGCAAAAAAGAAGAAGAAACAAUUUCAGCCAAAACCCGAAAUCAGAAACGAUUACUUGGACGAUUUUCCUCCCAGGAAAACUGACAAAAGGAUCCUGGAUCGAGACAGACCAUCAAAACGAAGACCAGAUCCCGAGUUGGGGGGAAGGCAUGGCUUGGAGUACACGCCAUCCACAAAGCGUCGAAGACUGGGAGAGGUCGGCUUGUCAAAUAUCUUAGAGGGGAUCGUCGAGACUUUGAAGGGAAGGAAGGAGGUAUCGUUUCUCUUCUUGAAACCAGUGACCAAGAAAGAGGCUCCAGACUACCACAAAUAUGUAAAGCGCCCCAUGGAUCUCUCCACGAUUCGGGAGAAGGCAAGGAAGUUGGAGUACAAAAACCGCGACCAGUUCAGGCAUGACAUGGCGCAAAUCGCCAUCAAUGCACACCUGUACAACGAUAAUCGCAAUCCAGGUAUUCCUCCCCUCGCAGAUCAGCUUCUGGAGAUCUGCGACUUCCUGUUGGUGGAAAACGACGCCUUAUUGUCAGAAGCAGAAGCCAGUAUGGAUACUUAGAGUCUAACUUCAUUAACGCUCUCCCCUCUGAUCCCUAGUCCCAUUUUGCAAGGACAUGUUUUUCACCCCCCCCCCAAAAAAAAUGAAAAGGAAAAAAAGAUAUAUUUAAGAACCUGUCACACAAUAUUGAUAGCUUGUCUGUUGUAUAGAAUUUCCUCUUAGGCAAAAACGCACUUCUUUCCUAUUGAUGCUGCACCAUGCAUGCUCAAACAAAAUGUGAAAAGUGUUAAAAGUGAUUAGACUGAUUGUUCAUUUUGAACGACCUAAUUAU